AUUGAACGCUGGCGGCAGGCCUAACACAUGCAAGUCGAGCGGAGCGGCGGACGGGCGAGUAAUGCCUAGGAAUGUGCCUGGCAGUGGGGGAUAACGUACGGAAAGGGGCGCUAAUACAGCAUACUAUCAGAUGAGCCUAGGUGGGAUUAGCUAGUUGGUGGGGUAAAGGCCUACCAAGGCGACGAUCCGUAACUGGUCUGAGAGGAUGUUCAGUCACACUGGAACGUAGACACGGUCCAGACUCCUACGGGAGGCAGCAGUGGGGAAUAUUGGACAAUGGGCGAAAGCCUGAUGCAGCCAUGCCGCGUGUGUGAAGAAGGUCUUCGGAUUGUAAAGCACUUUAAGUUGGGAGGCGUUACCAGCAGAAGAAGCACCGGCUAACUUCGUGCCAGCAGCCGCGGUAAUAC
rnacentral:rRNA from 1 species